CAAGGCGUAGCUAUAACAAAAGCAUUCAGCUUACACCUGAAAGAUAUCUGCCAUCCCAGAUCGUCUUGA
rnacentral:tRNA from 1 species